UUUAAAAAAAAUGCAGCGGUGGUAUUUUGGCAUAUGCUGCGGUAGCCUCUUGCGGAACUCCAUCAUGUCAUGAUCUUUGUCUGUCAUCGCGUUCUGGUGCGGAAAUGCGCUGUAUACGCAUAAGGAACAGAACACUGAUAACUAGCCUUCAGAGAGCAUUUUCGAAGUUUAGAAGGAAGUUCUUGCACAUAAAAUUAUUCGAAUGGUCCGUUUGCCGGCUAGAGCUGAUGACAACACUAACAUUUCGAAACUAGAGCAAGAUUCUACAGUAACUAGUCUAUACUCUCCAGACCAUAGUAUUUGAAAUGCAGGUUAGAAGAGAAAGCUCCCAAAGUCAAAGAUGAGUUUAAUUACCGAUCCGAGAGAGGCAGACAAUGGCCAUGACGCUACACUUGAUGUGGCUGAUGUCACCAAGACAAUAUUGAGGCUUCUUCCUAUCUGAAAAACACUGCUGAUCUUUGCGGUCAAUUUUCGGCAGCUAAUGACGUUUUCUACCAAGCAAGGGAUGCUGAUGAACUACAAGGAUGUCAGCUUCUUUAUGAUCCCUCUAACAAUACUCCAGACCUCAACAAAGAUGUCAGUAACAGUAACACUGCUCAUUACAUCGUGCGAGUACGACAAGAUACUCGUUCUUCUGAUGUGCUAGUUCAAUCUAUGAAACAAUCAUGGAAUUUAAGCAAGGAAAAGUGUAAAUAUAAUUACAUUUUUGCAAGCAAGCAAGAGCGUUUAGGAUAGUCCCAUAUAACGAGGGCAACUUUUGGCUGCUUGUUCUCCCAAAUACUAGUAAGAUUUUUGCUGGUGCUUUGAGGAUCGACAGCACGGGCACCUGGAUAAGUACUAGUACACUGGUUCCUUCCUGAUCACCUUCGCCUUUGUAUUCUUCACACGUCUCUCGGGAUAUCAAGGAAUGAAGGAGUGAAGGAGAUGGAAACACAUUUGGCACCAGAAGAUUUUGUUUACUACUAUCUGUUAGAUAACUAGACAAUUUUCGGUAUA